rnacentral:rRNA from 1 species
CGAGAAUCAUUCGCAAUGGGCGAAAGCCUGACGAUGCGACGCCGUGUGAGCGAAGAAGGCCUUAGGGUCGUAAAGCUCUUUCGCUUGGGAACAAGAGAGGCAACCUAACAAGUUGCUGAUUUGAGGGUACUAGGUAAAGAAGCACCGGCUAACUCCGUGCCAGCAGCUGCGGUAAUACGGAGGGUGCAAGCAUUAAUCGGAUUUAUUGGGCGUAAAGGGCGCGUAGGCGGGCUUGAAAGUCAGAUGUGAAAUUACGGGGCUCAACCCCGGAGCUGCAUUUGAAACUUCAAGUCUAGAGGGUAGUCGGAGGAAACGGAAUUCCACAAGUAGCGGUGAAAUGCGUAGAUAUGUGGAAGAACACCGGUGGCGAAGGCGGUUUUCUAGAUUACACCUGACGCUGAGGCGCGAGAGCAAGGGGAUCAAAC